GAAAUUCAUUCGCGUUUCGGCUGUCGAAGUCGUACGUUCGUGUGACGGAUGACGUGUUCGCACGUCGUCUGCGCCUUACGUGCUUCGAAUUGACGUCGAACGCGUGCACUUUUCCUCUAGUAGGACGUCGCGAUCCGUUGGGUGUUUGUCUAAGACCCGAGGUGGAGUCCGCGUGGCAAUGUAAAUUGUCGCGUGAACCCUCGGUGUUCCGGCAAACUCGCUCGACGGUAUGCUAAAGGCGCGGGGCCGCUACAUAUACAGUUAGCGUUCGGCCCGUAGCAAGCACGUUCUGUGUUUGACGGCGAUCGGACCUAGUGCCGAUUCUGUCCCAGAACGACUGUUGGUUACGGUGUUCUCGAACAGACCUCGUUGAAACGCCGAUCAGCGACGCUAUAGCUUUGGGUACUUUCAGGACCCGUCUUGAAACACGGACCAAGGAGUCUAGCAUGUGCGCGAGUCAUUGGGAUACUAAUAAACCUAAAGGCGUAAUGAAAGUAAAGGUUUACCUUGCGUAGACCGAGGGAGGAUGAGUGGUUUGCCCUUAAAAGUGCCCACUCCGCACUCCCGGGGCGUCUCAUUCUCAUUGCGAGAAGAGGCGCACCAAGAGCGUACACGCUGGGACCCGAAAGAUGGUGAACUAUGCCUGGUCAGGACGAAGUCAGGGGAAACCCUGAUGGAGGUCCGUA
rnacentral:rRNA from 1 species